UGUAUUUCAAAGGCACAUUUUCAUGGUAUGUCUGCACUUUACUCACAUGCACCAUGAGAUUACUGAUUGUAUGUUAUGCAAACAGCACCUCAGGUAGUUCAAGGAGAAGCGGAAAUGUAGUGCAUCAAAUUUCAGUGAGAUCACACACCCAUUCUGAAGUAUCUGCCCCUAGGGUCAAUCAGCUAUAUUUAAGUAGGGACCUGUGGGAUCAAAUCAGACAACAGAAGAGCAGUUAAUCUAAACAACUGUUCACUGCAUCACCUGAUAACAAAUCUAGAAGACAUUUCUUUCUUCUUUUCUGAGAAUCUAGACAGACAUCGCAUUUAAAGGAAUCGCAAUGGGAGACAACAUGAAUAUCCCAAUGGCAGACGUUCUAAAGAUGAAACACAAGAAUUAUUUAAGGAGUGUCCAUCAAAUUCUGAAAGGAACUCCUGUUUUUUCGACUUUUCCAUUGAGUAUUUUGUUUGUUGGAUUGGAGAAGCUGAUUGAAAUAGAAAUGUUUUCAUGCCCAUGCACAAACGAGCUAAAUAUGUUGCUAACAGUGUCCAUCUUCAUUGGGCCUGCUCUUUUUACAUAUGUUUUAAUGUUCCUCCUUUUAAGACCUUUUAAACUUACUGCAAAGACAAAUGAGAAGACUCGUUAUAACGGUCCUAAAAAAUUUUUAGCGUGUCUAAUUCCACCAGUAAUUGGGAUCGUCAUCUUGUUACUUGAUGGUGAUUAUUUUGCUUGUGCAAUGACAAACUGGAAGGGAGAAUAUGUGCCUGAUAUGGCGUUCAACAGGUCUUGGUGUAAACCUACUGAAGGGACACAAAAUGUGACAGAGCUGAAAGAUCUAACUUGGAAAUAUAUUCAUCAAUCUCAGUGUGCCGGAUACAUCUUGAUCUCUGUCUUCAGUGUCUUGAUGAUUGUCUUUUUGGGUAUUAAUGACUGCUGCAUUACUGGGAAAUGUGAUUGCUGCCCAAGUCGACUGUUAUGCUGCCAACAAAGAGGAGAGAGUAAUGAUGAGGAAAAAAACGAGAGUGCAGAAAGUUCAGAAAGUUCAGAACCUUUAAAAGGGUUUAGUACAGCCUAUGUAGUUCUUCAAAAGAAAAUGUAAAAUUAAGAAAACAUAAAAGGAAUGAACUUGUGAGGGUUAUCUAAU